rnacentral:misc_RNA from 1 species
UUUGUCAACAAGUCACGAUGUGGACUUUUGUUGUUUUCACGAUGGCCGUCUGGAGUGUUGAUGCCAAGGGAAUCAGACUUCACCUAUCAGAUGAGAUAAAGGACAUGCUACGGAAGUCUAACUGGGACCACAAGAACACUGCCUUGUCCAUUCACGGUCCAAUGACCCUGGACGUCCAGUCAAGUUUUAAACUGAAGAAGGGACAGGUGUUUCUAAAAUCAAGGGUCCAUGAUAAACAUAAAGACUGUGCAGACAUUAAGAUGCAUCGUCCGUUGAGUAGAGACGGGGUGUACACCAUUUACCCAACCCCGGGAACAAACAAUACCGUGUUCUGUGACAUGACCACUGAUGGAGGGGGAUGGACCGUAAUCCAAAGAAGACAAGAUGGAGACACAGACUUUCUACGGAAGUGGAAGGAUUACAAAAACGGGUUUGGCCACGCUGAAGAUGAAUACUGGCUCGGAAACGAUGCCAUUCAUGCAUAGACGAAAGAUAAAAAACAGGUUCUUAGGAUUGACUUGAUGAAAUUUUCGAGGGAGAAAGGUCAUGCGACGUAUUCUUCAUUUUUUGUGGAUAAUGAGGCUAACAAAUACAGACUGUCGCUCGGGGGUUUAAUGGAACAAAAGGUCUAGGAGAUAGUUUUGCCGUUUCCAACAGGAUGUACUUCAGUACUGUAGAUGUAGAUAAUGACAAUAACAGAGGAGAUUGUGCAGAUAUGUACAAAGCAGGGUGGUGGUUCAAUACAUGCAUGGACGCCAAUUUGAAUGGUGUUUACCGUAAAGCCUCGAAGAAGGAUGCUACGGAAGUGUCUUGGAAGACCUGGGGUAAUACGUGGAAGUCUCUGAAAUCAGCGAAAAUGAUGAUACGUCCACGGCAAAACGUCUAAAUCAAUGAGAAAUCCAAGCUAAUAAAGUCAGAUAAUGAUGCAAUUGUCGUUAGUGUUAUCAAUGUCACCAUUUACUCACGAAAAUAAAUUAAACAUAUAUUU